UACGUAGGCAGCGAGCGUUGUUCGGAGUUACUGGGCGUAAAGAGUGCGUAGGCGGUUUUCUAAGUUUGGUGUGAAAUCUCCCGGCUUAACUGGGAGGGUGCGCCGAAGACUGGAAGGCUUGAGUAUGGGAGAGGUAAGCGGAAUUCCUGGUGUAGCGGUGAAAUGCGUAGAUAUCAGGAGGAACACCGGUGGUGUAGACGGCUUACUGGACCACGACUGACACUGAGGCACGAAAGCGUGGGUAGCAAACAGG
rnacentral:rRNA from 1 species